rnacentral:rRNA from 1 species
GGCUCAGGAUGAACGCUAGCUACAGGCUUAACACAUGCAAGUCGAGGGGGAAACGAUAGAGAAAGCUUGCUUUUUCUAGGCGUCGACCGGCGCACGGGUGAGUAACGCGUAUCCAACCUGCCCAUCACUUGGGGAUAACCUUGCGAAAGUAAGACUAAUACCCAAUGACGUCUCUAGAAGACAUCUGAAAGAGAUUAAAGAUUUAUCGGUGAUGGAUGGGGAUGCGUUCCAUUAGCUGGUUGGCGGGGUAACGGCCCACCAAGGCAACGAUGGAUAGGGGUUCUGAGAGGAAGGUCCCCCACACUGGUACUGAGACACGGACCAGACUCCUACGGGAGGCAGCAGUGAGGAAUAUUGGUCAAUGGGCGAGAGCCUGAACCAGCCAAGUCGCGUGGAGGAAGACUGCCCUACGGGUUGUAAACUCCUUUUACCUGGGAAUAACGGGCGCUACGCGUAGCGCUGUGCAUGUACCGGGAGAAUAAGCAUCGGCUAAUUCCGUG